CCUACGGGUGGCAGCAGUGAGGAAUAUUGGUCACUGGACGCAAGUCUGAACCAGCCAUGCCGCGUGCAGGAUGACGGCUCUCUGAGUUGUAAACUGCUUUUGUACGGGGGUAAACCCCGAUACGUGUAUCGGGUUGCAAGUAUCGUACGAAUACGGAUCGGCUAACUCCGUGCCAGCAGCCGCGGUAAUCCGGAGGAUCCGAGCGUUAUCCGGAUUUAUUGGGGUUAAAGGGUGCGUAGGCGGUUUGAUAAGUUAGAGGUGAAAUUUCGGGGCUCAACCCCGAAACUGCCUUUAAUACUGUGGGACUAGAGAAUAGUUGCGGUAGGCGGAAUGUAUGGGGUAGCGGUGAAAUGCGUAGAGAUCAUACAGAACACCGAGUGCGAAGGCAGCUUACCAAACUAUAUCUGACGUUGAGGCACGAAAGCGUGGGUAGCAAACAGGAUUAGAUACCCCUGUAGGC
rnacentral:rRNA from 1 species